CAAUCUUAAAUUAUGUACACUGACCACUAACUAAUUUUAUUCUCUCCUUGUGCCAUUCACGUGCCAUUCAUAUAGCUGUCAUCAGCUGUUAUUAAAACCCAUCCAACAGACCAUAUUUCAUCUAUCAUGAAAGAGUUGGAUGGUCCUGAUGCUGUCCACGUGUCCAGUCUGUGAAUGAAUUUAAAUUGGGGAUCUUAGGAACAAUUGAACUCAUUUCAUCUUGUCGGAAAAUCCCAAGUUCACCUUUUUCCUUUCUUCUCUUCUUCUUCCUCGAACUGAUUGAAGUAGCCAUGGCAGAUGAAAUAAAAUUGGCUUCUCAUUGUCAACAUCCCUCCUCAAGUUGGAGGGGAGAGAAACAACCCCCAACUUGGACAUUAUAUUCCGAUGAGAAGCACCUGUGAGAGAUUUCGUAAAUAGAUCGGUGAGUUGAUGUUCAGAUGGAACGAACUUCAAAGUAAUGAGCCCAGAAAUGUACUGCUGUCUCACAAAAUGACAGUCAAGCUCCACGUGCUUCGUCCUUUCAUAGAAGACGGGGUUACCAGCGAUGUGGAUUGCCGUUUGGCUGUCAGAGUGAAUAGGAACUGGAGUUGACGUGGAGCGGAGAGAUCUUCAAGUAAUCGCACAAGCCAAGUAAUCUCAGUGGUGACUUUUCACAUCGAUUUGUAUUCGACUUCAACCGAGGAGAGGGAAAUCGAAGAAUUCCAUGAAAUGGAAGAUCCUCCAAAAGUUAUGUAAAAACCUCUAACAGAUCGCCGAGAGUCCGAGCAAGAAGCCCAGUGGGCAUCGUAAAAUGCCAAAAGCUAAAAUGAUGGAUCAGAAGACAACAAAAUACCUUGUCCUAGGUCUAAUUGGAGAUAUCGCAAAACUCAGAGAGUUGCUGAGAAGUGUGAAGACCAUGGUCGUUGUAUAAAUUGACUGAGUUUCAAAAGUGGAAAAGCCAAAUCUGGGCGAGUAUUUGUCAAGUAGUUUAAUUUCUCAAUUAGAUGUCUAUAUAUUGUAGGAUCAUCCAAUAAAGCAUCUGAAUCUGCUUGUAAUUUGAUUGCAGGGUCAGGUGGAGAAGAGACUCUAGGAAUGUGGUGGUAAUCGAAUUCCUUAAGUUAAUCCAAGUAGGUUCUCCAUUGUGAGGUUCUGCAUAUUCUUGUCCAUCCUCAACUGCAACAACUACUUUUCCUUUGAUACCAGACUGAUAGUUCUUCCCCUUGGUAAACUCAAAAUCUUCUGGAUAACCAUGCAGCCUGUGAUAAUCAUCACAUGUCCAAUUCUAAAACAAUGGGUGCAACUUACAUUUCGGUUGAAUUUGCUUUUCUUUCCUCUAAAUUUCUGUUGUGUGUUUCUAAACUUUUGUGGGUAGGAUCCUAUUUUCUGAGUUGAAUUGUUGUUUCUAUAGUAUUGAUUUCCUGGUGGUGUUAUGUUUGCA